GAUGAACGCUGGCGGCGUGCCUAAUACAUGCAAGUCGAGCGAACAGACGAGGAGCUUGCUCCUCUGACGUUAGCGGCGGACGGGUGAGUAACACGUGGAUAACCUACCUAUAAGACUGGGAUAACUUCGGGAAACCGGAGCUAAUACCGGAUAAUAUAUUGAACCGCAUGGUUCAAUAGUGAAAGACGGUUUUGCUGUCACUUAUAGAUGGAUCCGCGCCGCAUUAGCUAGUUGGUAAGGUAACGGCUUACCAAGGCAACGAUGCGUAGACGACCUGAGAGGGUGAUCGGCCACACUGGAACUGAGACACGGUCCAGACUCCUACGGGAGGCAGAAGUAGGGAAUCUUGCGCAAUGGGCGAAAGCUUGACGGAGCAACGCCGCGUGAGUGAUGAAGGUCUUCGGAUCGUAAUACUCUGUUAUUCGGGAAGAACAAAUGUGUCAGUAACUAUGCACGUCUUGACGGUACCUAAUCAGAAAGCCACGGCUAACUACGUG
rnacentral:rRNA from 1 species